CAGGCCUUGACAUGCACUAGACAGACGCUGAAAGGCGUUCUCCCUUCGGGGCUGGUGCACAGGUGCUGCAUGGCUGUCGUCAGCUCGUGUCGUGAGAUGUUGCGUUAAGUCGCGCAACGAGCGCAACCCCUGUCCUUAGUUGCCAUCAGGUAAAGCUGGGCACUCUAGGGAGACAAACCCUCUCUGAGGGUGGGAAGGUGGGGAUGACGUCAAGUCAGGAUGGCCCUUACGGCCUGGGCUGCACACGUGCUACAAUGCUCGGUACAGAGGGACGCAAGACCGCGAGGUGGAGCAAAUCCCAAAAACCGAGCCCAGUUCAGAUUGCAGUCUGCAACUCGACUACAUGAAGAUGGAAUUGCUAGUAAUGGCGAGUCAGCAACAUCGCCGUGAAUACGUUCCC
rnacentral:rRNA from 1 species